rnacentral:tRNA from 1 species
AGUCGAUUAGCUCAGUUGGGAGAGCACCACUCUUACAAAGUGGGGGUCACUGGUUCAAUCCCAGUAUCGACUACCA